ensembl:lncRNA
GGGGCUCAGCAGGUUAAGAACUUGACUAGUAUCUACGAGGAUGCAGGUUCAAUCCUGGGCCUGGCUCAGUGGGUUAAGGAUGCAGCAUUGUCACAAGCUGCAGUGUAGGUCACAGAUGCGGUUUGGAUCUGGCGAUUCUGUGGCUGUGGUAUAGGCCAGCAGCUGCAGCUCUGAUUCGACCCCUAGCCUGGGAACUUCCGUAUGCUGCAGGUGUGGCUCUGGAAAAAAAAGAAGAAGAAGAAGAAGAAAGAAACAAAUGGGAAAAAAAAAAAAAAAAAGGAUGAGGAGUUCCCGUGUGGCACAGCGGAAAGGAAUUUGACUAGGAACCAUGAGGUUGCCGGUUCGAUCCCUGGCCUCGCUCAGUGGGUUAAGGAUCUGGUGUUGCCUUGAGCUGUGAUGUAGGUCACAGACACAGCUUGGAUUCCACAUUGCUGUGGCUGUGGUGUAGGCUGACAGCUGUGGCUCUGAUUGGACCCCUAACCUGGGAACUUCCAAUGCUAUGGGUGCAGCUCUAAAAAGCCAAAAAAAAAAAAAGGAUGACCUGAGCAAAUGAAUGAAUGAACUUUCUCUUGCCUCUACCGAUCUCGGCUUCUGGGUAACAGUGGGGGGACCAGCAAGCUCCUCCUCUGGCCCCCCUCUCAUGCCUAACCGCCUAGCUGUAUGCCCAGUACUCUGAGCACAUGGGCUGUAGCCCCACAAAGAGUCUUUGAUAAUUACAGGUGGUGUGUGGAUAGAGGCUAGAGAAACCCAGUCAUUCUCACUUUGCAGUUGCCCCGAAUCUAGGUAAAGUGUUUUCAUCAGAAUCAAAAUUUAAGCUGGGAGAAAUUAGUUUGAGGAGCUGUGUUUUGCUCUAAUAUAACUUUUUAAAAUCCCAUAACUUUAUUUAAGAGGAAUGUUCACAUUUAAGAGGAAUGUUCGCACUUGCCCUGUGCCAGGCACUAUCCUCACAACAACCCUAAGAGGCAGGCGCUAUGUCACCUCAUUUUAUAGAUGAGGAAGCGGAGCACAGAGAUUGAGUAAUGAGCCUAAGGCUACACAGCUCACACGUGGCAGAGCUGGGAUUCGAACCUGGGCAUCUGGACCAGAACCCGUAUCUUGGCCUCAACCCUCUAUCUCCUCGCUCUGAGUGCCUUUGCAGGUGUUUGUGUUCUUUCUGGGCCUCAGUUUCUCCUGUCUGUAAAAUAGGGAGAGGGGGCGAUUUGCUUCGCUGUCCCAAAGGCUUUCCCUUACAGGAUUGUUAGACUUAAGCUGUGGGUUCUCUCUGGACACCAGCAAAUAUGGAAAUGCCACUUGAGAAGUAGGUACCCACAAGUCCCACUUAUCCCACCAGGGAGCCUCUUAAAGCAUUUGUGCUGCUGGCUUCCCCAAAACCCAGCCGGAAGGGGUGAGUGGAGGGGCAAGGUACAGGGCCCAAUGGCAUGGCAUGACAUUUAUUAAGCACCUACUGUAUAUCAGGUCUGUGGCAGUUUUACUGAUAAGGCCAUAGGCCCAGAAAAGGCAAGCGACAUCCCCUAGGCAGAACAGCAUAGAAGCAGGGGAGCCAGGAUUUGAGCCAGGCCUGCCUAGCUCUGAUGCUGGGUUUUUAAUCUCUACUUUCCGUUCCCAUGGGUCACACUAAGUUCCCUCUUCUGAAUCAGGCAGUUGGGUUCUGGUUCUGAAUCUGCUUCCAGCCCACUAAGACUGAGCAGUCCGUGCCCUCACUGUGCCUGGAUUUCCCUCUUUGUAAAGGAGCUGGAGACACUCAUCCUGCAGCCGUUUGACUUGGGGGGAGCUGUUCUCAAUCUGGCCACCAGGGGGCACUGUGGCCCCAGGGGCUUUGCCAGAUCCCCUCUGUCCAGGGGAAGGAGGCUGAGGGAACUCCUGUAUCACCACCUUCCCCCAUUUUACAGAUAAGAAGACUGCUCCCAAAAGAAGGACCAUGGCUUUGGAAGGCGGAGUCCAGGCUGAAGAGCCCCUCUGGAUGUAGGAGGCCCGGCGGAACAGCCAUGGCCAUGGCGUGGGACAACGGCACAGGCCGGGCCCUGAGCUUCCCGCCCACC